AACCAUUAACUAAGGAUCUGUUAGAUUAUUUCAUGAUAUACUAUUUUUUUAAAGAUAACAUGACAGAUUUGGGGGGCAGCCGUGGCCUAAUAGUUAGGGAGUCAGGCUUGUAACCGAAAGGUUGCGGGUUCAAGUCCCAAGUCCAGCAGGGAUUGAAGGUGGAGAGACACUGGGUGAAUACCACGACUGAGGUGUGUUUGUUGAGUAAUGGCAGACGGUAAUGGAGAUGGAUGCCUUGAUGAAUCUAGAGGGUUGGAGAUCCACAUUGGAGCCUUAUGUGAUGCAGACCAGAAUGCAAACAAGGAGGGAGAACACCAAGUCAAAGUCAGGAAUGCUGGAGAUCAAGAUGGAGCAAGAGGGCUACAUAAUGUGGUGAUUCCAUUUGACCAGAGGGACAAAGUGAAGAUGGAAGAUCUGUGGAUGAGGUGGAGCCAUGAGGUGGAGCCACAAGGUGACACAAGAAGCAAGAAUAAGACAGUGGGAUACCUUAAUGGAGCCAGACAGAUGAACUCUCAUGCUGGACCCAGGGAGAUCAGACCAAGGCAGAGUCAGGAAGGUUGGACAUUAAGAUAGACUCAGAGGAGUGGAGAACAAGGGUAAUGCUGCUGAUCCAGAGGGCCAUGGUGGAGCCAGAAGAUGUGCAGACCAACGUGGAGAUGAUGGCAAUCAUGAUGAUAGUGGAGCUAGAGGGAUGAAGGGCCCCAGUGGAACCGAAGAUGGUGCAGGCAUAGCCAUAGGCCUGAAAGUCUGUUGUGGAGCCAGGAUGAUGACAAAGCAGAGUGGAGUCAGAAGGAUGAGGCACCCCGGUGAAGCAGGGGCUUGACAAGGCACAGUAGAGCCAAUGAAACAAAAACCAAGGUUGCCAAUGGCAACAAAAAUCUAAUUAAAAUUAAACAAAACUAAACAGCUUAGCAAACUGAGACAAUCAAUAGAAAUGAACUGAACAAACUGAGGACUUGAAAUACACAGAAAUAAAGAUGAAGCAAACUAAACACAAGUGAACAUAAUUGUUAACCAAGAAAACCAGCAAGUUUUCAGUUCUGCACUUGAGCUUUGGCUGUUAUGCAAAAACACACCACAAUGGGAGUUGCAACUAUGUCCUUAGGUACAUUUGUAAUGUGGAUAUAAAAAACAAAUAGCAUAUACACUUGCAAAUGCAAUAUAAUUUUGUUUACAUUGCAGUUACAAGUAUAUCUAAAAAUGCAUUAAAUACACAUUGUAUCCACCGUGAAAUACAAACUGAAAUAAAUAAAAAAAAGGGUUGUUUUUGGGACUACUGUCCUGUUGUGAACAAUUUCUGCCAUUAAUGACCUCAAGCAAGUAUGACUGUAAUCAUGACUAUGUAACAUCUGUGUCCUCACAGUAUUCCUACGA